UUGAGCGCUGGCGGCAUGCCUUACACAUGCAAGUCGAACGGCAGCACGGGUGCUUGCACCUGGUGGCGAGUGGCGAACGGGUGAGUAAUACAUCGGAACAUGUCCUGUAGUGGGGGAUAGCCCGGCGAAAGCCGGAUUAAUACCGCAUACGAUCUACGGAUGAAAGCGGGGGACCUUCGGGCCUCGCGCUAUAGGGUUGGCCGAUGGCUGAUUAGCUAGUUGGUGGGGUAAAGGCCUACCAAGGCGACGAUCAGUAGAUGGUCUGAGAGGACGACCAGCCACACUGGGACUGAGACACGGCCCAGACUCCUACGGGAGGCAGCAGUGGGGAAUUUUGGACAAUGGGCGAAAGCCUGAUCCAGCAAUGCCGCGUGUGUGAAGAAGGCCUUCGGGUUGUAAAGCACUUUUGUCCGGAAAGAAAUCCUUGGCUCUAAUACAGUCGGGGGAUGACGGUACCGGAAGAAUAAGCACCGGCUAACUACGUG
rnacentral:rRNA from 1 species